rnacentral:rRNA from 1 species
CUUUACGGCCAUGCCACCCUGAACAAGCCCGAUCCCAUCUGAUCUUGGAAGCUAAGCAGGGUCAGGCCUGGUUAGUACUUGGAUGGGAGACCACCUAAGAAGACCAGGUACUGUAGGCG